rnacentral:rRNA from 1 species
GACGAACGCUGGCGGCGUGCUUAACACAUGCAAGUCGAACGGAAAGGCCCUGCUUUUGUGGGGUGCUCGAGUGGCGAACGGGUGAGUAACACGUGAGUAACCUGCCCUUGACUUUGGGAUAACUUCAGGAAACUGGGGCUAAUACCGGAUAGGAGCUCCUGCUGCAUGGUGGGGGUUGGAAAGUUUCGGCGGUUGGGGAUGGACUCGCGGCUUAUCAGCUUGUUGGUGGGGUAGUGGCUUACCAAGGCUUGGACGGGUAGCCGGCCUGGGAGGGUGACCGGCCAAAUUGGGACUGAGAUACGGCCCAGACUCCUACGGGAGGCAGCAGUGGGGAAUAUUGCACAAUGGGCGGAAGCCUGAUGCAGCAACGCCGCGUGCGGGAUGACGGCCUUCGGGUUGUAAACCGCUUUCGCCUGUGACGAAGCGUGAGUGACGGUAAUGGGUAAAGAAGCACCGGCUAACUACGUG